AUUGAACGCCUGCGGCAGGCCGAACACAUGCCAGUCGAACGAGUGGCGGACGGGUGAGUAAUGUCUGGGAAACUGGCCGAUGGAGGGGGACAACUACUGGAAACGGUAGCUAAUACCGCAUGCCAUCGGAUGUGCCAAAAUGGGAUUAGCUAGUAGGUGUGGUAACGCCUCACCUAGGCGACGAUCCCUAGCUGGUCUGAGAGGAUGACCAGCCAAAUGGGGACGGAACCACGGUCCAGACUCCUACGGGAGGCAGCGGUGGGGAAUAUUGAACAAUGGGAGCAGGCCUGAUAGAGCCGCACCGCGUGUAUGAAGAAGGCCUUGGGGUUGUAAAGUACUUGCAGCGAGGAAGCGUUACUCGCAGCAGAAGCACCGGCUAACUCCGUGCCAGCAGCCGCGGUAAUAC
rnacentral:rRNA from 1 species